ACAACAAAACUGAGCAAUCAAAUGUAGUGUGAAAGUGAUUAAUU
rnacentral:guide_RNA from 1 species